UCAGGAGAUACACCACGUGAAAUAGAGUCUCUCCCUCCAGUGUGAAGCCCGAUAUGCCCUCGUUUCUGUGUGUCAUCUGUUGUCACUAAUCAUCUAAAGGAAAGGAACACUAUAUGCGCUAUAUCCAUCAAUAAGCAGGGUCCAUCAUAGCCUUUCUGAAUGCGAGUAGACCGGUUCUGAGGUAAAGAUUGUAUUGCAGGGAGAACUUCAAAGUGAAGUCUUGUGAAAUAGCACAGCACAUUUUGUCAAGCAAAUAUUCCAAAAUCAUAAAUUCGUCAAGUAAGUGUUACAUAUAUCUUUUUAAGGUACACUAAGAGCUCUCUAAAGAAUCAUUCCAAUAUUGUGCUGAUAUCAGAUAGCCUGUAUUUUUUCUCAAUAUAAAAGUCUAUAAAUGUGCUAUACGAUUUGUAAUGUUUGUUAAUGAAAUAUCGUUCACAAAAAAAAAAAA